rnacentral:ncRNA from 1 species
CCGCCACAACGGCUUCCUGACGUGGCGGGAUUGUACAUACCGGAGCA